UCGCGGUGGCGGAGCGUCGUUUGCGACGCCCAACACACAAAACAAGCGGUGAGUGCUUUGGGGUGGGGUGACUGCGUACCUUUUGUAUAAUGGGUCAGCGACUUAUAUUCUGUAGCAAGGUUAACCGUAUAGGGGAGCCGUAGGGAAACCGAGUCUUAACCGGGCGUUAAGUUGCAGGGUAUAGACCCGAAACCCGGUGAUCUAGCCAUGGGCAGGUUGAAGGUUGGGUAACACUAACUGGAGGACCGAACCGACUAAUGUUGAAAAAUUAGCGGAUGACCUGUGGCUGGGGGUGAAAGGCCAAUCAAACCGGGAGAUAGCUGGUUCUCCCCGAAAGCUAUUUAGGUAGCGCCUCGUGAACUCAUCUCCGGGGGUAGAGCACUGUUUCGGCUAGGGGGUCAUCCCGACUUACCAACCCGAUGCAAACUGCGAAUACCGAAGAAUGUUAUCACGGGAGACACACGGCGGGUGCUAACGUCCGUCGUGAAGAGGGAAACAACCCAGACCGCCAGCUAAGGUCCCAAAGUCACAGUUAAGUGGGAAACGAUGUGGGAAGGCUCAGACAGCCAGGAUGUUGGCUUAGAAGCAGCCAUCAUUUAAAGAAAGCGUAAUAGCUCACUGGUCGAGUCGGCCUGCGCGGAAGAUGUAACGGGGCUAAACUGUGCACCGAAGCUGCGGCAGCGACGCUUAUGCGUUGUUGGGUAGGGGAGCGUUCUGUAAGCCUGCGAAGGUGUCCUGUGAGGGAUGCUGGAGGUAUCAGAAGUGCGAAUGCUGACAUAAGUAACGAUAAUGCGGGUGAAAAGCCCGCUCGCCGGAAGACCAAGGGUUCCUGUCCAACGUUAAUCGGGGCAGGGUGAGUCGACCCCUAAGGCGAGGCCGAAAGGCGUAGUCGAUGGGAAACGGGUUAAUAUUCCCGUA
rnacentral:rRNA from 2 species